GUGCUCGCUUUGGCAGUGCAUAUACUGAAUUCAGACUGAUACAGAAAAGAUUAGCAUGGCCCCUGCGCAAGUAUGACACACAAAUUCGUGUAGCGUUCCACAUUUUU